GGUUUAUUAGCAUUAAUUAUAAUAUCGAUAAAAGUCGAAAUAAAAUUAAUUCAGCGUUUUUAGAUAAAAAGUUUAAACGAUUAUUAAUCGAAAUUUAAGGAAAAUUUGAAUACGAACCGAUGACAUCAUCGUCAAGUAGGAAGCAGACGACAAUACUAUAGGUAUUGUAAAUAAUGACAUAAUUCUAUCAGCGGGAGACUCGCAAGGGUGGCUGAGAAGGAUAGAUAUCACAAAAUUCAAUCUCUCUUUCAUUAAAAGGAAAAAUACACAUAGAAGAAAGAAAAAGAUCUUGUAUCGGGAA